rnacentral:rRNA from 1 species
UUCACCAUAAUCAAUAACAAUAGAUUGUGGUUUAUCUUUAAUAAUUUGUUCUUUUUUAAAUUCUAUUUGCAUAAUUAAUCACUUCUACAUCAAUCACAAACAUAUCCAAAUGGUUUUGUAUAAUCUAAAUGUUCUUCAAUAUCAUAAUUAUCUUCAUAUUUUUUAGUAUUAUGUUGUUGUGAUUCUAAUUCUGUUUUAAAGUGAUAAAGCAUAUUGAUUUUGUCAUCUUCAUAUAAUUCAUUACAUUCAACACAUCUUUUUCUUCUUUUUUUAAUUUUUUUAUCAAUCUUUCUUAGUGCUUCAUAAUCAAGAAUUUCUAUUGUCAUAAUAAUCCUUUCCUAAUAUGUCCUGUUGCUUCCUAGCAUAAAGGACAUAUAUUUUUAUUUUUAAAUUAUUAAUACUACUUUUAUUAUUUUUAUUCAUUGCACAAAUCGUGGGCUCAAAAAUAAAUUUCAAAAAAAAUAAAAAAUAAAACCAACACUUGCUCACUGAAGAGUGGCAAGGUUGGUUAAAUAAAGAAUAGAAUUAAUACAAUAGGUCCCUACAACAGGUCUAUAUAUACUAGUUUCCAAUUCGCUCCCACCCCAAGAAUUACCAUUAAAUGGUUAGUAUAUUUUAUUAGGUAUCACUCCACUUUUUAUUUAUCCAUGCAAGUCCACAUGUUCUAGCUACUAUUUUUAACAACUGUGUUGUAGUUCACUGUUUUAAUUCCCUAACACUUGUUGAUAAUAGUGUUAAAGAAGAUUAUUAAUUAUUAACUUUCUCCUACUUGGUAACUGCGUGUAGUAGAUAUUUAAAGGGUGUUAAUAAUAAAAAUUUUAAAAUUUUACAAUUACAAAAAAAGACAAGAUUUUUAUUCUCGUCUUUUAUAAUUUAUUUUUAAUUCAAGGGUAAAAAAAAGAAAGGCGCUAUUUUUAAAACUUUUUAGUUAUUGACAUCUUCGACACGCUCCCAAAAAUAAAAUUUAUUUUUCAUCUAUCUUUAUUUUUUUAUUAUUUAUUAAUAAUAAAAACUUUUUUAUUGUAUAUUAUUUUUUUCACAUAUAAACUUUAAUUAAGAUUUACCUAAAAUAACUAUUAAAAAAUAUUAGAAUUUAUCAUUACUAAUUUAUAUAAAACUGUUUCAACAAAAUUAAGUAUUAAUCUACUUUUUUAAAUCUAUAACAAAACUAGUAAUAUAUUAUUGAUUAAAUUAUAUAUAUGAUGUUAUUAUUACUAAUUUAACUUUAUAAAUAAUAUAAAAAUACUAAUUUUUAUAUGAAUUAAAUUAAUUAACAAUAUUUUACAUUUUUUUCUAAACCUACGAUAUUAAAUAAUAAAAAAUCAAAUUUUUGGUAAAUCUUAAUAUUAAAAAUUAAUAUUUAUAUUAAUUUAAAGAAAGAGGUACUUAUUAAAAAAUGAUAAAUAAUAAAAAGAAAAUAUUAGAAAAAGAAAGUCUAACUAAUAAUAAAUAUAAAACCAAAAUUGAAAAAUUAAAUAAAAAACUACAAGAAAGUCUUGAUGAUUUAAAAGAAAUAAGUGAUGUCUAUGCAAAAUCAGAAAGAGAUGCAUUAGAUAAAAGAAAAAUAAUUACAAAUCUUGCAAAUAAAAUUACAGAAUUAGAAACACAGUUAAUAGAAAAUCAACAACAAGCAGAAAUAAAAAAUAAUAAUAAAAAAAAGGGAUGGUAACAAAAACGGAGGAUAUAAUUACUUUUUAAACAUUUCUUUAAAAUUAUAGACAAGAAUUUAAAAUUAUAGACAAGUAAUAGGGGCUUUGCCCCUCGUUGCUUCGCAACUCACCCCAGCGGGGCUAAACGCCGCGGCCAACCAACCAAGGUUCUGGUUGGCACCGACCAAUAAUAUAGAUUUAUUCUAUUUUAAUAUUUUUUUUAUUUUUCUUAGAAUGUUUAUUUCUAUAAUAACAAACACGACAUACAGUAUUUUCAAUUUCUUUCUUUUCGGUCUGUAAUAUAUUAUCCAACUUAUCUAAUCCUACUGCUCUAAUAUCAUCAACAGUAAAAUCUAAUGCUUGUGACUGUUCAUAUUCUUUAACGUUACUUAAUUCACUCUUUAACGAAUGAAUAUAAUUUAAAGCACGACUAUUAUAUCUUUGUAAAUAAGACCUAGGAAAUCAUAAACUAAAAGUCAUAGUUUCACCACUAUAAUUAGGUGGCAAUCCACCACGUUUAAUUAUUUUCUUAGUUUGUCUUUUAGAUAAUACAACUUUAUUAUAAUCAUCAACAUUAGUAUAAAUAUUAAGUUUAAAUUUAACUAAAAAUAACAAAAUACGCAUUCUUUUAACUUGAACAAUAUAUUCUACUUUUUCACGUGCUUGUUUUGGUAUUCUAUCGGGGUGUUGUUCAAUCAUAUACAUAAUUCCAUUAAAAUUAUGACCUAUCAAUUUACAAAACAUUCCCAAACUUUCUUGUGUUUCUUUAAAUUCGGGUGACAAAUCAUUACUAUUAAUUUUCAAACCUAACUCAUCUAAAACAACCAUAUCACACUCUUUAAAAGCAUAAUUACUAUUUAAUUGAUUAAAUUUAAAAACAUCAUCAUAAGAACAGCGAUAACUAUAUUCAUUACGUACUUUAAUAGGAAUAGGACUCACUACCCUACCUUUAUGUUUUUGUGCUAAACAACAAGCAAGAGCAGAUUUACCAGUACGUGGUGGUGCUGAAAUAAUNACGAGAGGACCGGAAUGGACCUAUCUCUGGUGCACCAGUUGUCACGCCAGUGGCACAGCUGGGUAGCUAUGUAGGGCAUGAAUAAGCGCUGAAAGCAUCUAAGCGCGAAGUCAGUUCCAAGAUGAGAUUUCUCAUUCGAAAGAAGUAAGAUCCCUUGAAUACUACAAGGUUGAUAGGUCAGGUGUGUAAGCAUAGUGAUAUGUUCAGCUUACUGAUACUAAUAGAUCGAGGAUUUA